rnacentral:lncRNA from 1 species
UUUCUAUAGAUAAGGAUGCAAACUGUGUUUCUAACAUUACAAGUUUUAUUCAAAACUAUGAUGCAUAGGUACGGGUACGGUACUCGGUGCGGGUACUGGUACCGGUAUAGGAUACAUCAUUUAAAAAAAAUCAAGGUACAAUUACCUUAAUAAGAAAUAAGAAUUUUCUGUAAAAUGUAUGAGUAAAGAACUAAAUUGUUAGGUUCCUAACAAAAACACUACUAUUAAAAAUUGAAAAAAAAACAAAAAUAAC